AAGAAAGUAUGUAAGAGCUGCUAACUCAUACCACCGUACUUAAACGUACGGCUUUCUUA
rnacentral:tRNA from 1 species